GACGAACGCUGGCGGCGUGCUUAACACAUGCAAGUCGAACGCUGAAGCUCAGCUUUUGUUGGGUGGAUGAGUGGCGAACGGGUGAGUAACACGUGAGUAACCUGCCUCCUUCUUUGGGAUAACGCCCGGAAACGGGUGCUAAUACUGGAUAUUCACUGGUCUUCGCAUGGGGGUUGGUGGAAAGGGUUUUUCUGGUGGGGGAUGGGCUCGCGGCCUAUCAGCUUGUUGGUGGGGUGAUGGCCUACCAAGGCUUUGACGGGUAGCCGGCCUGAGAGGGUGACCGGUCACAUUGGGACUGAGAUACGGCCCAGACUCCUACGGGAGGCAGCAGUGGGGAAUAUUGCACAAUGGGCGCAAGCCUGAUGCGGCGACGCCGCGUGAGGGAUGGAGGCCUUCGGGUUGUGAACCUCUUUCGCUAAUGGUCAAGCCGCAACAAUGGUUGUGGUGAGGGUAGUGGGUAAAGAAGCGCCGGCUAACUACGUG
rnacentral:rRNA from 1 species